UGCAGCCAUCCCUGCCCUUCUGGGUGUAGAGCCAGCUGCAGAUCACCCUGUGUGUGGUCAAGGAGGUGAAGGGUGUGUGCAGGGGUGGAAGAAGUGUGGUCCAUCAUAGCAGGGGAUGGCCCAACAAGAAAGAGGACAGCAGAAGCUGCUGAGGCUAGCAUGAUGAGAAAGUGAAGACAAGUGAGUGCUAUUCUGGAUACACUGUUGCUGUGAAAGGAGCAGUUGUUGUUAUGGAAGUGACAAGACACUGGAGCCACAUGAUAAACUGUCUGUAAGGACUGAAAAUAGAAAUUGUCAUCUUGGUGGAUUCUUGGUUGUAAAAUAGUUUAGAAUGACAGCAGACACCACUCUGCUCGGAGUUUUUGCCAUUGCUCACAGUCAUCCUAUGUGAGGAGGGCUGCCCAUACCACCUUGAGAGCUGCCCAUGCGUAUGCAAGCUAGACCCACACCUUGGCUGCUAAGUUUUAAACGUUGAGCCACUGAUUUUAAGUACUUGAGGUGAGUAUCCUCUGCACAGGCAUGACUUCAGUGUUCAUGCUGAAGCCGCAAUGACAGGGUAUAGAAAUUCUGUGGAGCUUUUGGAGAAAAGUGGGACUAGAUGGGAAGAGUCACGGAGAAACAAUAGAGCUUCACAAAAAGAAAGAGGGUGGAGAGUUCACUCUUGGGCCUUUCCUGGACUCUUGGGCUCUCCUGUGUGGCCUAUACCCCUCACAGCUGCAGUCCCACAGCAAACAUUAAUAAUCCCUUCGCCUGUCUUACUGUAAGUAAGAUGCACCGUGGUAACUAUAACACAGAAAAAUGAAUGCGAGAAGAACUGCCCAAGUUCUGUAGAAAAUGUCUUUCAGCUUGUAAAUAUACAAAAGUUUUGUUCUGACGUUUCAUAAGUGUGUGAGACUGACAGGAAUUUCAGCUAAUAUUCUAAAUCAGACAUCAAAAGUAAUUUUAGUGUAUACAAAUAAAUUAUGAUUAUUAUAGUAAAAGACCAUUUCUGUGAAAAAGACAUGGUGGAACAACAUCCAUUCCUCUUGACAACAGUGUCAGAAAUGUAGAUGUGAGGGACCCAUGACAUCCCCUCAUGCUUUCUGUGAAAGUAACAGAAAGUUAUGAAAGAGUAUUUAUGAUGUGUGAAGAUGUGUUGCAGCCAAUGGCACCAGCCCAAGGCACAGCGCCUGGUGUUGAGCAUACCUGCCUCUUAUUACUAUUAUUUUUAGUUAUGGGAAACUCACAUCUAUAUAACUUUUCUUACCUGUAAAAUAAGAACAAUAUUUCCUGUGUUAUCCAGCUAUAAUAUAUGCUUAGUAAAUGGUGGCUAUUAUUAUAACCUGGGUGUUCAAAUAGUGACAGCUCCCAAAUACUCAACAAUAGAUCCAUUUAAUCUAAAGCCAGUGUAUUAGAGUAUUUGAAGCAGGUGCCAUCCUGGACGACAUUUUUAUCAAUUACCUUUUAAUUGAAAGUAAACUUUUUUCAUACGAUAUAUGCUGAUCAUUUUCCCUUCCCUCUUUUCCUCCAGAUCCUUCCUACCUCCUCAAUCUUCCAACUCUUUAUCAAUGAUUUUUUUGAAGAACUUGUAUGCCCAUAGGUAAUGGAUAAUGAAUAAUAGUCUAAAGAGUAAUGAAUGUGGAUUUAGGGGGAUCAUGAUGUGAAGAAAUUCCCGGACAAAUUUAAACAUAAUUUACUAGGAGUAAUGCCCUUUGGGACAUUUUUAAGCUGUAUAAGCUCAGGUGAAUAAGACUUAUAAGCCACAAAGCUUAGCGGCUAUAACAGUUCACCUAAGAAGCAGCUGGGAGAUUACAGGUCUUGAUUUAACUUGGGUGGUAAUAAACUUCAUGUAACUUCUAGCUAUAAGACCAGGAACAUUUUAACCAAAUAAAAUACUCUCAAAGAAGGCAUCUCUGCCCAGGUUAAUGGAAGGUUCUGUCUAAUUCUGGGGC